AACGAACGCUGGCGGCAUGCCUAACACAUGCAAGUCGAACGAGACCUUCGGGUCUAGUGGCGCACGGGUGCGUAACGCGUGGGAACCUGCCCUUAGGUUCGGAAUAACUCCCCGAAAGGGGUGCUAAUACCGGAUAAUGUCUUCGGACCAAAGAUUUAUCGCCUUUGGAUGGGCCCGCGUUGGAUUAGCUAGUUGGUAGGGUAAAAGCCUACCAAGGCGACGAUCCAUAGCUGGUCUGAGAGGAUGAUCAGCCACACUGGGACUGAGACACGGCCCAGACUCCGAAGGGAGGCAGAAGGAGGGAACAAUGCACAAUGGGUGGAGGCCUGAUGCAGUAACGCUGCGUGCGGGAUGACGGCCUGAGGGUUGUAAACCGCUGUCGACUGUGACGACGCGUGAGUGACGGUAAUGGGUAAAGAAGCACAGGCUAACUACGUG
rnacentral:rRNA from 1 species